UAUAUAUAUAUAUAUAUAUAUAUAUAUAUAUAUAUUAGUAUGUGUUACGUUCAGUUGCACACGCCCGCACGUACACACACACACACACACACUCUGUUUGCGCGCUCGCAGAGACGCGAAGAAACAGCGAACACAAAGUUUGAACUUUGAGCACGGGUGGAGGGCGAACGGGAAAAAAUUCUUCAGGGGUUUUCAUUUUGGAGCUAAGGAGAAGCUUUCCACAAAAAACCAGCUGAAUCGGAAGUUUGUGCUUUUCGGAACUGCACCCAUUUAUCGUCUACAAAAGUUUUGCAAAAGCCACACUCUCUCUCUCUCUCUCUCUUUCUUUCUAGAAAGUUUGACUAAAAAUUAAAAUUCAAUCGUACAAACGAAUUUGACCUCAGCUCCAAUUUAACUUUUAUUCUCAAUUUAAACGCGACAUUUUUUAAGAUAUGUAGGAUUAUCUAAUCGGACAGUCGCAUUCAUACGCGAAUGUGUACUGAUCGAUGUCAGUCAACGCUUUGCUCCUAUUAGAAGAUACAGAGAGGUACAGGAGAGGACGGAGAUUAUUACAUCCUCACGGGAUAACACCUCUCGCGCGGAUCCUUGCGAUGUUUCUAACAUAAACAUACCUGGUGAUGACUAUACAUGAUAAUAACGUAAAUAUAGAUAAUAUUUGUCUGGAUCGUUUAAAAUAAAAUUAGGUGGAAAUAGAAUAAAUAGAAAAAAACUAGACAUGGACUAACAGAAACUAGACUUCAGAAACUAACAAGAGCUAUAACGGUGCGAUGAAAAGGCCUCUCAGAUAUCAUACCAACUAUUAUGCAUACGAGCAAUCGGCAAGGAUACACGACGGGCAUAACUGCGCAGGACCUCUACUCAAGUAUCGGAAAAAUGUUUAAUUACGUUUAGACUAAUUCAAGGUAAUAAAAGAUUCUAACGGCUCUAAAAUUAGAUAAAUUAAAGAUAUAAGGAGGACACAAAAGCCAAAAUGCUGAUGUUGUGCGCUAGAAUUUAAUCUUAUAUUUAUAUGCGACCGCAUAUUACGAUCGAAACGUUUCACUUUGUAAUUGACUUUUGUGAUUAAAUUCUAGUGCAACACCAGCAUUUUGGCUCUUGCGUCCUCCUUAUAUCUUUACGUUCAAGCUAACUUUACCAUAAGUAUUACUGUAAAUCGUUCCCCCCGCUGCUUUAUCUUAAAUAUGAAAAAUCAAUUUCCAUGAAGAAUUUUACAAAUACCUGAACAAUUUGGCAAGAAAUUUAAAUUCAAUCAGACAAAUAAGCAGACAAGAAAACAAAUUCAAUUAAACCUCAUUCUCAAUUUAGUAUCGGCAUUUUCGAAGAUACGACGAAAAAGAAUAGUCUUUGUCCGCGAGGGGACACGCGAAUCGGUCAGUGUAAAUCGGAGCUCGGCAUGACUUGCAAACUUCGACCGUUUUUCGACUUGUUCCACCUAGCGCUAUUCCUCUUACCUGACAAGGAGACUCAGGAUCAUGUAAUUUAUAAACAUAUAUAUUUCCAAUAACUGUUGGAAACGAAUGCUUACGAGUCACAUGUUCCUAAGUCUCGAGCGGCGCGCGAGAUGAGGAGGUAAGGAGAAUAGACGAAGCAAGAGUCGAAAGUCGGUCGAAAUAUACAACGCGUGCCGAACUCUUGUGUAAAUCAUCGUUUUGGACGAUGUUGGUGCAGAAAGGAAGAGGGGAGUAUAGAGACUGAGAUUAUUGCAUCCUCGCGGGAUGAGACCUCGCCGGAAUCCUUACGAUGCCGAGAUAUUGGCAGAGAAUAUUCAUCAUAGAUAGACUAUUAGAUAAGAUCGAUAUUGCGAGAAACAACUCGGAUCCAAUUUUCGCGACACAAGACCACGCAUAGACUGUUCCUUAUAACAUUUACUAGUUUUAAGGGAAAUGUAAUGAAUUACUAGUGUUAAGGGAAAUGUACUGAAUUAUUAGUGUUAAGGGAAAUGUAAUGAAGUUGAUUACAAAUAAGAGCUAGCUUGCACUACAACAUUGUAACACUAACGUUAGCAAGGAUGCGAGGCGGACUUAGGAUCCUCACACGAAUAUCGGGAAAUCGUCGGCCCGUGAUUCCUUUAAUUACAUUUGGCUAACAUUACAGAGUAAGAAAUUAUUACUGAAAGCCGACCUGUGCCCUUUUACACUUGAGAAAUCAGUUUUCAAUGCCGACAAGAAUUUCGCAAAGUUCACUAGACAAUUCAAUGAAAAACUGAGAAUCUCUAGGUCAUGUGACCAGCUGGCUGGCAUAAACAUAUACGGAUUUAGACAUUGCGACGCCAAUGCAGAACAGAUAGUUAUAUAUAUGUAUGGUUUUGCAUUGGCGUCGCAAUGUCCAAAUCCAUACAUAUUUAUGCCAGCUAAUCGCAGAGUAGCUUGGCGCUUCUCUUUACUAGAGGUUUUCUAAUACGAACCGAUCGGGAUAAAAAUUCGCUUUGGACCAUGUUCAUUUCCAUGUGGAGAGUAAUUGUGGACUAGACUAUUGAGAUUACUGCAUUUUCGUGGGAUGGGACCUCACCAGAAUCCUUGCAGUGCAUAUUUAUACGUGAAUGCAGGUGCUUCAUUGGAGUCGCGAUAUUGCGAGGAAACGCACGUUUCCAACUUUCGCAGCGCUUUCGUAGCACCCAAGAUCCCAAUAUAUAAAAGUUGAGGAAGUUUCAACAAUAUUGUACCGGUAACUAAGAGUAAAAGCUAGCGCUAAUUAAAAGUAAGAGCGUUCCCACGCAAUACGACGUCUAAAAUCGGGACAUAAGACGUCUGAAAGGCAUCUCAAAGACGUCGGAAUGUAAGAUGUCUAAAGAUAUCUUUAAAGCGCAUUCUACAAUAAACUAUUAGUCAUAAGUCGCAAGCAAAUUGACCAAUCACACUAUUUUUAAAAAUAAUCGACUGUGGUUGAUCAACUUGCUUAUCGCUAAUAGCUUAUUGUAAAAUGUACCUGAGACAUCUUUAAGAUGUCUUAUGUCCGGAUUUUAGAUGUUAUGUUAAGUUAUGCGUACUAACUGUAACAUUGUAAUAAGUACACCUGUAAAUAUUGAAUUGUAUUGCAGUAUCAUAGCAAGGAUACACCACAUGCGGACUUAACCGCGAGGAAUCUUGGCUCGGAGAAGUGACGCACAGUGGGACAAGUUCUUCUCAUAUUCUUCUCAAUAUUCAAUACCUAGGAAACGGCCAAUUAUAAUAAAAAAUAUAUAUAAGAAGCAAAGUCUCUCGUAGAGCCUCAAAAAAUGUAUUUAAUAGUAAUAACAGUUUGACCUUGGGUUCCCUAGGGUCGUACGAAGGUAAAUCGAAUAUUUUUAAUGGGAAUACCUAUUUUUCGUGAUUCUGAUUCUCGCGGAUAACAUCGAGAUCUUUACAAAAUAUACUUCUUACACAAGUCUAUGUAAUAACAUAAUAAUAACAAUAUAUUAUCACGCUUAUUUAUGCCCGUGUUGUCAACAGACGAGCACUAAAUUAUUUAAUUAUCCUUAUAGCAAAAUUAUCGCACAAUAACUAAUCUACAAAAUGUAUUUUUUCAAAAUAAUACGAGUUGAAGUGCUUCUAAUAGAUCCCAAAAACUAUACGUUGAUUUAAAUGUGAAAAUUUGAUCCAAACGGAGAGUUCAAAGAGACAUUGUUUAAAUUAUUGUUUAUUUAGACAAACAAAUUCAGUGUCACGUUUUCGUACAAAUAGGAACGUGUUUAUAUUAUUUCAAGCCACAAUAUAAAAAUUCAGUUUAUAUGUAAUUUAGGAAAUAUAUUCAUAAUUCUUUUUAUUGUA